rnacentral:lncRNA from 1 species
UUAAGGGGGUUCGCGGGUCUAAAUCAUUUAUAUAGGAUUUGUCUAUAUUUUUCUAUAAAUAAACUUUAUCUUAUAGUUAAUAGAAAAAUAAAAAAAAAAGUGGGGUCACCGUUCAUUUGCGCUCACAAUCUGCCUUCGAAAGAAGCAUACAUUUAUGUAAAGGUGGGUUUUUUCUGUUGAAGUAAUAGGAGAAAUAAAGAUAAUAUCGAAUUAAAAAAAGAAAUUUAUAACAGAAAUCGCUCAAAUUUUACAAUAAUUUAGUUUAAGUACAGCUUAUAUGGAAAGUAUAUUAAAAAACAUAGGUCACCGAUGAGUUAAAAAAGAUAUUUCAAUUUUAAAGCCAAAAAAUGGCAUUUUUCCACCAAAGGGAGAUAAUUUGGAACUUUUUCAAUGAUCUAUACAUUUUAAAAGUCAUCUGGGGCCAACACGAAGUGGUUGUUUUGAAUGAUUUUUGUACCAUAUGAUAAAGUAACAAUUACAAAAGGUAACAAAUUAAAUUUGUAGUGAAAAUCAAAUGUUUAAUUUUUUUCUGAAAUUUUUAUACCCUCGAGCCUCC